AGUUAAGAUACUAAGAGCAUAUGGUGGAUGCCUUGGCGAUAUCUGCUGAAGAAGGACGCGACAAGCUGCGAAAAGCCACGGAGAGGCGCAAAUAGCCUAUGACCCGUGGAUAUCCGAAUGGGGCAACCCGACGGUGGUCAUGCACCGUCAUCCAUACCGACCGGUAUAGGAGAGGCACUCGGUGAACUGAAACAUCUAAGUAGCCGGAGGAAAAGUAAUCAAACGAGAUACCCCAAGUAGCGGCGAGCGAACGGGGCAGAAGUCCAAACCGAAGAAGGAAACUUCAUUGGGGUAGAGGGCUGUCAAUAGAUAGUGAAGAAUUUAGCUGAAUAUGUUGGAAAACAAAGCCGAAGACGGUGAAAGCCCGGUAAGCGAAAAGUUCAACACUACAAGACAGUACCGGAGUACUGCGAGACCCGAGAAAUCUUGCAGGAAGCAGGGGGGACCACCCUCCAAGACAAAACACAGAUAUCGACCGAUAGCGUAUAGUACCAUGAGGGAAAGGUGAAAAGAACCCCGGGAGGGGAAUGAAAUAGAACCUGAAACCGUAUGUUUACAAGCAGUCGAAGACCGUUUAAUAAUAAGGUCGACGGCGUGCCUAUUGAAGAAUGAACCGGCGAGUUACGAGGUCUGGCGAGGUUAAGCAGGAAAUGCGGAGCCGAAGCGAAAGCGAGUCUUAAGAGGGCGACAGUCGGAUUGCGUAGACCCGAAACCACAGUGAUCUACCCAUGUCCAGGUUGAAGCACAGGUAAAAAUGUGUGGAGGACCGAACCUAUAUACGUUGAAAAGUGUUAGGAUGAGAUGUGGGUAGGGGUGAAAUUCCAAUCGAACGUGGAGAUAGCUGGUUCUCCCCGAAAUAGCUUUAGGGCUAGCCUCAGGGAAGAGAUUGCAGGCGGUAGAGCACUGAUCAGGAGAGGGGCCUAUCCGGCUACCAAACCCAGUCAAACUACGAAUGGCUGCAAUUAUACCUGGGAGUCAGACUACGACUUAUAAGGGCCGUGGUCAAGAGGGAAACAGCCCAGACCAUCAGCUAAGGUCCCCAAUGCCGUGCUAAGUGGCGAAGGAUGUGGCAUUUCAUAAACAACCAGGAUGUUGGCUUAGAAGCAGCCAUCAUUUAAAGAGUGCGUAAUAGCCCACUGGUCGAGAGACGCUGCGCCGAAGAUGUCCGGGGCUCAAGCACGGAACCGAAGCUAUGGCAUGAUAGCAAUAUCAUGGGUAGGGGAGCGUUCUCAUAAGGAAGAAGCAUAAUCGUAAGGAAAUGUGGACAUAUGAGAAGUGAGAAUGCCGGUAUGAGUAUCGAAAAGAAAGGUGAGAAUCCUUUCCACCGAAAGCCCAAGGAUUCCUGAGCAACGAUCGUCGACUCAGGGUAAGUCGGGACCUAAGCCGAGGCGAAAAGCAUAGGCGAUGGACAACAGGUUGAAAUUCCUGUACCGGAUAGACUCGAUUGAGCGAAGGAGUGACGCAGAAGGGUACACAAUCGUACGGAUGGAAGAGUACGUUCAAGUGAGUAGGUUGAUUAUGAGGCAAAUCCCAUAAACUAAAAGCUGAGACACGAAGAGGAAACAAAGGAAACUUUGUGGAACUUGUGAAUCCCACACUGCCAAGAAAAGCUUCUAGCGAGAGGAUAUCCGCCCGUACCGUAAACCGACACAGGUAGGCGGGGAGAGAAUCCUAAGGUGCGCGGGAAAACCCUCGUUAAGGAACUCGGCAAAUUGCAUCCGUA
rnacentral:rRNA from 1 species